rnacentral:rRNA from 1 species
ACAUGCCUACAACAUAACGUUAAUGCAUUGGAUACCUUUAUAACUCUAUAGUUAAGAGCGCUUGGGCUAGAGUAGUACUGGCAUGGGUGACCUCCUUGGAAUUCCUAGUGUUUUACAUGCC